CUCCGGUUGAUCCCGCCGGACCUGACUGCUAUCGGAUUGGUACUAAGCCAUGCGAGUCAUUGUAGCAAUACAAGGCGGACGGCUCAGUAACACGUAGUCAACCUAACUCGUGGACGUGGAUAACCUCGGGAAACUGAGAAUAAACCACGAUAGAUCAUAGUGCCUGGAAUGGCUUAUGGUCCAAACAGUUUACUGCCAUGGGAUGGGACUGCGGCCUAUCAGCUUGUUGGUGAGGUAAUGGCCCACCAAGGCGAUUACAGGUACGGGCUCUGAGAGGAGAAGCCCGGAGAUGGGUACUGAGACACGGACCCAGGCCCUAUGGGGCGCAGCAGGCGAGAAACCUUAGCAAUGUGCGAAAGCACGACUGGGUCAGUCCGAGUGAUUCCUGAUAAAGGAGUCUUUUGCUUGUCCUAAAAGCACAGGUGAAUAAGGGGUGGGCAAGUCUGGUGUCAGCCGCCGCGGUAAUACCAGCACCUCGAGUGGUCAGGACGUUUAUUGGGCCUAAAGCAUCCGUAGCCGGCUCUGCAAGUCUUCGGUUAAAUCCACCUGCUCAACAGAUGGGCUGCUGGAGAUACUACAGAGCUAGGGAGUGGGAGAGGCAGACGGUAUUCAGUGGGUAGGGGUAAAAUCCUCUGAUCCAUUGAGGACCACCAGUGGCGAAGGCGGUCUGCCAGAACACGUUCGACGGUGAGGGAUGAAAGCUGGGGGAGCAAACCGGAUUAGAUACCCGGGUAGUCCCAGCUGUAAACGAUGCAAACUCGGUGAUGCAUUGGCUUAUGGCCAAUGCAGUGCCGCAGGGAAGCCGUUAAGUUUGCCGCCUGGGAAGUACGGACGCAAGUCUGAAACUUAAAGGAAUUGGCGGGGGAGCA
rnacentral:rRNA from 1 species